AACUCAGCCGCCACUUCCCAAAAAUCUAGAGAUUACACAAAAUGAUAACCAUAAUCAGCCGUAGUGAAUACAUACAAAAUCUUCAUCUUCUUCAAUUUUAAGAAGAAAAGCAGCAGCUCCAUCAAACACCAAGCACACAAGCAUACAAUCUUCAUCUUGUUUGGGUUUAUUUUCGGUUGAGGUCGAGGUCCGCGAAUCAACGCUCCCGUCGGCGUCGAAUUCGAGUUGCAGCAACUCAUUUUUGUACGUUAGCAUGUAGUUUCCUUGGUCUCUAUUUAAUGGAAGAAAGUUUCAGCUUAUAAAGGUCCAAUCUUUACCUUUAUUCAGUUUAUUCUGUUAAACCUGAGAUGUGAUUUUAUUUUUUGGUGAUACGAUUUUGUCCAUGAAUUUUAUGAGUAGUCUUUGAUGUUUGUUGAUGACUAAAUAGCUGAAGGUAAAUGUCUUAUUUAGCUGGAAUUUAAUUGCUCAAUUUACAUAGAUUUGAGUUAUUUACUGUGACCGUGAUUUAAGAGUACGCCAAAACGAAUCACUGUUUAUUGGCCCAUUUAAUUAGUACUAUUUUAUUUCCAAGAUUCCUACAUGGAUUAUUGGUUAGUCCAUCAUCUUUGAUUUCAUAAGUGUUAUAUAUCAUAUGUUUUAUUCCAUGGAAUAUAUAUCUCACGUCACUGGUAGCUAUUAAAUUAGUAAGUCAUAUUAAGUUUAUUAGUAAUAUCAAGUUGGUCACUCCAUUUCAUUUGAUUUUGUUUGUUUGGUGACCUGUAAAUUUGAUUAUGUUUAGUUAGUACUUGUUUAAGUAAGAAACCGAGCAAACACGGAUUUGGACUAGCUUUGGUCACAUUUUGUGUCGCUAUCUUAUAUUGAAUAAUUCUUUUGCCAUGUUUGUAUAUACGUCUGAGUACUAAAAUUUUAGGGCGCACACCUAAAUUGAAGGCCUGAUUGAUUAUUUAAAUGUGAGAUGAGCGAGAUGGGGUGUGAAUUAUUUCAAAUUCCAUUGUCAAUUAUAAAAAAGAGUGGUAAAACCAAUUGUAAGGGAGCAGGAUGGGUUGCGAAUUUAUUCAAAACCCGUUAUUAAAAGAGUGAAAAUUAAUAAUAACCAAAUAGUUUUAAGUCUCAGAUUUUAGAGACAAAUAAUUGCCUUUAACGCUAGACGAGCUUUAGGCACGUUUUAAGAUGUUUGUUUCGAUGAAGAAUGCGGUUACGCAUCUUAUUUCGAGACAUUUUUUUAAUAACUCAAGGAUGCGGUUACGCACCUUGGCUAAAUUCGUUUUAAUAAUUAAUCUUGCUUCGAGUAAGAAUGCAGUUAUGCAUCUUAUUUUGAGACGCUUAAAAGAUCCGGAAUGCGGUUACGCAUCCGAGUUAAACCCAAUAAAUGUUCAACAAUAAAAGCACGAGCAAAUCAAGGCUCGGGAACAUAAUUUAUCCAAAAUAGUUUAAGCUAAGUAUAAGUCGAUAAAGCGACCGUGCUAGAACCACGGGACUCGGGGAAUGCCUAACACCUUCUCCCCGGUCAAUAGAAUUCCUUACUCGGUCUUCUGUUUUCGCGGACCAUAAUAAAAGAGUCAUUUCCUUUUGAUUAGGGAUUCAUAAGAUGACUUGGAACACCAAAACUCAAUUCCAAGUGGCGACUCUGUAAAUAAAAUAAUCCCUUUUCAAAACCGUCACUUCAAAUGGAAAAACCCUUUAAUAAUAAAAACUUGCGCGUUUAUAGCGCGGGGCGCAAAAAAGCGGUGUGACAGCUCUGGCGACUCUGCUGGGGACUAGCCAGAAUUCGAGCUUUGUGAUAUUGCCUUAUACUUGGCUUUUAUUAUUAAUAUUUGGAUUUGUAUUAUGUUUUUGGCCUAAUGUGCUAAUUGUCACUCAUUUACCGCUUUGAUAUUGUUGAAUUGUAUUAUAAAAUGCCUUCUCUCGCGCACCCUUCUGAGCCUCUGAAACACUUCACACACGGGCACAGGAAUGCAGUUAUGCAUCCUAACUUUCUGUCAAGAUAAAGCCAGAGCGUCUUGGUGCCCGGUGAAGGAUUUUAGUCACACGUGUUAGGCGGGACAGGAUAAGCAAUGAAGUCGGAAUAGCACUGCUACCGACAGUAUUGCCCCUCCCUGGCUCGAGUUGUCCGCUCGGGUGACCCAGUCUAGACACCUUUGCCAUUAGGUUUUAAACCUAGCAGAACUGAAACGCAGACAUGAUUAUCCCUAGUAUGAUCCGCUUAUAUGCAUCACUUGCAUUUGACUUAGUGGGACUCGGCACAGGGGUCGGGUCCGUCUAGGACAGGUAUCUCUUUAUCUGACCGACCUGUGCAUCUCAUGUGCUAUUUGCAAUAUUAUUUUUAAGGCUUGCUUGAUUAUUGAUCGGCUUUAGGCUAACUAGUGAAAUAGAAGAGAGAGAAGCAUUCAUCUGACUUUUUACGCACCCAUUUCCUUAAACCUCUAAUUUGUCUGGCUGUUGCUAAAAAUAAGAAAAGAAGAGUUCAACUCGAGACGAGUUUAUUUAUUUAUUUUUAAUAUUUAUUUUUAAAGACAACUCAAUAGUCCAAUCUGGACGAACUACGCACACCUGAUUCCCGUCCCUCGGGGCGACGAUACGUAGGCAGCCCAUAUCGGGUUCGGUGGUCCUUAUUCAAAAAAAUUUAAAAAAAAGUGUUUUUAUUUUGUAUUAGAAAAUCCGAAAAAUAAAGGAGAUAGUUUUAUAAAAAAAUAAUAAUAAUAAUAAUAAUAAUAAAAGGGGGAGAUUCCUUUUAACGCCCUAUCCAAAAGAAAAAGGAAAACGCAAAAAGAUUUUACUUCGAGUAGUAUUUUUAGCGGGGUUUCUUUGGAGGAAAUUUUACAAUCAAAAUCCAAAAAAGAUUUUUUUUUGUUUUCAAGUUUUUGUAGUUUUUUUUCUCUUCCUAGAUUUCAAAAAAAAAAAAAAAAAAAAAAAGAAAGAGAAAAUUCGAAAUAAUUUUGUUGAUUACUUUUUGCCGAAACUUCCCGAACUACGCAAAGAUCUGAUUCAUGUCCCAGCAUGAUACGUAGGCAACUCAAGUCGGGUUCGAUCGAAUUAUUUUCAAAAAAAUCCAAAAAGAGUAUUGAAAGAGCGAAGAAUAAAAAAGAGUGAAAAGAAAAAAAGAGAUAAUCAUAAAAAGAAAAAAAAGAUGAGUGAAUCGAGAGGUAUGGAAAGAAAAAAAUGAAAGAGAGGAAGGCCAAAUCGAACGAAAAUGGGGAUGAUGCCAAAAUCACAUUGUUACCCUUAGAAUCAUUCUAGAACUAAUAAUCGUGCAUAUGUGACUUGCGCGCGGUUCCCUAACUCAAUCAUUUUUAUUCAUGAUGUUUGAUUUUAGAAGGUGGUUGGUUUGUGGUUUUAAAACUGGCGACUCAUCCUUACAACACAAGGUCGAAAACCAAAAAGGCAAUGGCGACCAACGAGGACACUUGGUUGGUUGACGCUAGCGCUCAAACACCAUUGGUUGACCAAAACUCGAGGUUAGCCGAAGAAGUGAGAAUGUUAAAACAACACAUGGCAAGCAUGUAUCGGGCUUGGAUGACUGGUCAGGCACCACCUCCACCGCCACCUGGCUUCCUCGACAUUUUCCCUAAUAUGCCGACCUCAACCCGAGCUCCACUCACUGUGCCUGGUGAUCCAUCUAACAGUGGACCCUUGUUCAAAACCCCUGAUGCUCAACCCUAUACUCUAGAACCGACUUUAAAUAUCUCUAACCCAUACGGUUAUAACCCUCACCUUGAGCCUCCCAUUAACAGUGAAAAACUUAAUAAGACCGUGGAUGAUGAGGAAAUGACUAGAAAGAUGAAAAACUUAGAGCAAUCCAUAAGAUACUUGCAAGGUCAGGAAGGUCAUAAGAGUGUUUGCAUGCAAAGACUUGUGCAUGUUUCCUAAUGUUCACUUGCUCUCUGGUUUUAAGACUCCAAAGUUUGACAAGUAUGAUGGGCAUGGUGAUCCUGUGGCCCAUUUGAAGAGGUAUUGCAAUCAGUUGAGAGGAGCUGGAGGUAAGGACGAAAUGCUUAUGACCUACUUUAGUGAUAGCUUAACAGGAGUAGCCUCGAAUUGGUUCAGUGAUCAGGAUGCCAUUAAGUGGCCUAUUUGGGAUGACAUGGCUCAAGAGUUUGUGCGACAAUUUCAGUAUAAUAUAGACAUUGCUCCAGAUAAAAUGUCCAUAACCAAGGUGCAGAAGAAAUCUACAGAAAGUUUUAGGGAAUUCUCCAUUAGGUGGAGAGAGCAGGCUGCUAGAGUAAAGCCUCCAAUGGCAGAAGGUGAGGUGGUGGAUACUUUUCUCCAAGCCCAAACUGAAGAAUACUAUCAACACAUGCUCCCAGCACUGGGCAAACUGUUCAUUGAGGUCAUUAAGAUGGGGGAAAUGAUAGAAGAUGGAAUCAAAACAGGACAUAUCAUGAGUUUUGCUGACAUGACAUUAAAUGCUAAAGUAACUCAAAAUGGUUUAGGAAGCCUGAGCGACAUGAGGGAAAAUGAUGAUGUAGCCAUGAUUAUACCAGAAGCGCGACGAGGUGUGAGCGGUCCAUCUCGCUCAUAUACCUAACCACAACCUCAAGUCUAUUCCCAAACUCCAUACGCUCAACCUCAACAUUACUUUCUUCCACAAGACCCUCAAUAUUGCAUGUCACCUCUCCAACACUUUGCCUGUGCUGCACAGCCAUAUGUUCAACCAUAUCCUUACCAACAAUGGUGUGCACCAGCUCCACAGGUUUCUUACCCCCCACAAGCAUAUCGACCUCGUACCAGCUCCAACUUUCGACCUAGGCCGGAAUACAAGAAAGAGAGGCAACAGAGAAGGGAGGCCUCUAGAAAACUUCCCGGGCUAUCAGUCUCAGUUUCAGAAGUUGAUAAGGAUGAAUUGGUUAAAGGGACCCAGAACUUAUUUGCUGAGAAUAAUCUGAUUGAAAAUGAUAAUGGUUCAAGUAAUGCUUAUGUGCAACUUAGUGGCUAAGAUGACAGCUUUGCAGUUGGGAAGUCACUCCUCUCCCCUCUAGGAAGGAGUCUUGGUAGUUUGUUUUGAUGUUCUUUCUGUUAUCCGGGUUAUUCUAGGGUUGUAAUCUAGAAAUGUUUUGCUUGUUUUAAUGUCCACAACCCUUCUAUCAUUUUGUUUAUUAAAAAAAAAAGUUUUUGUUUUGUCAUUUCCUAGUAUGUCUUCUUUAGUUUUUCUUUUGUACAGUUCUUUUCAGGCUGAUUCUAGUGACAUGAUAUGCAUGUGGAUAUUUUUAGCCAGAUCUUGAAGGCCAGUUUAAUUACUAAAGAAAUGCACCCAAAAGAUUGAAAAUGGUGAAGAAAAACAUGUGAGGAAAUAUUAGAGUGCCGAAACAUUUUGAGAGUAAGUUGAAGUCUGGCUUGAAUGAAACUAAUACGAUCACUUUGGGAAUCAUGAGAAUGACACUAGUGUAUAACAAAAUGUUGAUCCCAAGUGAUUUGAAGUGGGUCAAUAUCAAGAGAAGUCAAAAAGCAAGUGCCCUCCAAUUGACUUGAGUCAUCCAUUGUAAAGAUAUACCGUAUGAUUUUCACUUCUCAUUCUCGAAUCGCAUGCUUUGUACUUGACAUUUUAAAGGAUUGAUAUGACGAAGGCAUUUCAUUCUGCUAUUUGAACAUUGUGUCACCCUUUGCUAGCCCUUUUGAGCCUUAUUUUUAUUUUCUUUCGUAUCCCUCUUUUGGAAUCAAAGUACAGUACAAAAAAAGAGUCGGAAGAGAAAAAGUGAAAAGAGUUGAAAGAAAAAAAAACGAAGAAAAACACACAAGAAAUGAGCUGCCGGAACUACGUCUGACCUGAUUCUUGUCUCGACAGGAUACGUAGGCAACCCUAUUCUGGGGUUCGGUCCAACCCAAAUAAGAUUCGAAAUUUCCCGUUUCAAAGAAACUGGGACAGAAGUUAUUUUUCCUUUUGAGUCGAUUCCAAAAGUUGUAAGUCUCACCCCUAUUAUUUUUGUGUUGUCUUCGAGCCUUCACGCCAUCCUUUCUUUUCAACCCUAUCCAAAGCCACGUUACAACCAAAGAAAAGACCUUCAGAUCAAUCAUUGAAUGUCAAGGCUGAGCACGCUAUGAGUACAAAAAAUUUGCUAACGUUCAUCACCUGUCUUCGUAAGCAUAAGGGAAGUGGAAGAAGAGAAUGAAAAUGAGAGAGUCUUACUGGUGAAAGCCUUCACAGGCACCAUAAGGCAAUAAAGAUCUGAGAGAAAUGAAAAUGAGAGUCUCUCACUGGUGAAAACCUUCACAGGCGCCAUGAGUCGACGGUGAGUUGAGAGAAUGAAAAUGAGAGAGUCUUACCAGUGAAAACCUUCACAGGCACCAUAAGGCAAUAAAGAUUUGAGAGAAAUGAAAAUGAGAGUCUCUCACUGGUGAAAACUUUCACAGGCACCAUAAGUCGACGGUGAGUUGAGAGAAUGAAAAUGAGAGAGUCUUACCGGUGAAAACCUUCAUAGGCACCAUAAGGCGACGGUGAGUUGAGAGAAUGAAAAUGAGAGAGUCUUAUUAGUGAAAACCCUCAUGGGCACCGUAAGGCGAUGGUAAGAUGAGAGACAAAUAAAAGAGAGAGGUUUAGUGAUAAAAACACUUCGGAGCGCCACUAGCCGAAUGAGAGUCUAGAGCCUGUUAAAUAGGUUGGGAUAUGAAGCCUUGAUUUCAAAACAAGUGUGAGAGCACAACGGGAGUUAAAGAAUAGAUUGAUUGAACAGAUUAGGCCGCUCAAUCCAAAAUGCAUGUCAUGACCAUUGGAGCCAGCGACCACAUUCAGAUAAGUGUCUUCUUUUCUUUUCUCCUAAUAAGGGACAUUUCCACUUCUACAUCUUUUUACUUCUUUUGUUUUGUUUUGUUGAGUCUUCCAUGUAGAACGGGUAGAGAAAGGAUUUCAAAACUUGCUACCAGCUUUUCCAAUUGUGAAGCAAAAUAUCUGGCUAGCACAUGAAGGUAACAUAAUUCAGUCGGCGUAAGGUACUCAACCAGCUGUCGACCGUUAAUAGGUUCUGGAUUCAGUGAAAUACAAGGUUCAAUAAAGUUUGAGUUAACGGACAUUAUGAAACAAGAGAUUUAUGGUUUGGUGUUGAAGUUACUUCUGAGACAUUUUGGCAACCAUGUUUGAGUCAGUAAUACCGUGGGUCAAUAGGAUGCGAUAAUUGUCUAAAAGCGGAGCCAAACAUGAUGAGGGCAAAAGCAGUUGCUUUCACAGCCAAGCCACAAACCAACUACCAUGCUUUUAAACUCACAAAUUCUAUUCGUUUGAAACAAGGAAUGGGUGUUAUCUUCAAAUCAGAGGCUUCAGAGCCCGAAUAUUCGAAUGGCGUAUUUCCUCAAAUUGCCAACACCAAAGGCAAUGGCACAACAUAGGUUUGCAAGCAACAAAAUUAAUCAAUUUUUCAAUUAUUUAUAUUGUAACCCCAAGGAGACGCACUUCCUAGCCUGGGUCUUUCACAUUUUGUUGUUAGGAGACGCACUUCCUAAUUUAACCUUUACUCCUAGGAGACGCACUUUCUAGUCAGAGUUUUUCGAUUUUAACCCUAAGAGACACACUUCUUAGUUUGGGUCUUUCAGGUUUUUUUUUCUUUUAGGAGACGCAUUUCUUAUUUUGGGUCUUUCAGGUUUUUCUUUUAGGAGACGCACUUCCUAAAUUGAACCAUUACUCCCAGGAGACGCACUUCCUAGUUAGAAUUUUCAGUUUUACCUCUAGGAGACGCACUUCCUAGUUAGAGCAUUUGAUUUUACUUACAUCAUUGAAUUAGCUUACAGAGAGUUUAUGAUUUUGCUAACACUCACAAAAAUUUCCUAGUGCAAACUGGGGCAGAAAAUUUUGUUUGUAUUGUUUGUCUUUGAUGAUGUGCAGGACCUGCCUGAAGAAUGGGAAAUAAGUUAGAACCCACCUGAAGAAUGGGAACAAGCCAGGACCCGCCUGAAGAAUGGGAGCAAGCCAGGACCCGCCUGAAGAAUGGGAAGCAAGUCAGGACCCGCCUGAAGAAUGGGAAGCAAGUCAGGACCCGCCUGAAGAAUGGGAAGCAAGUCAGGACCCGCCUGAAGAAUGGGAAGCAAGUCAGGACCCGCCUGAAGAAUGGGAAGCAUGUCAGGACCCGCCUGAAGAAUGGGAAGCAAGUCAGGACCCGCCUGAAGAAUGGGAACAAAGUCAGGACCCGCCUGAAGAAUGGGAACAAGUCAGGACCCGCCUGAAGAAUGGGAACAAGUCAGGACCCGCCUGAAAAAUGGGAACAAGUCAGGACCCGCCUGAAGAAUGGGAAGAAAGUCAGGACCCGCCUGAAAAAUGGGAAGCAAGUCAGGACCCGCCUGAAGAAUGGGGAGCAAGUCAGGACCCGCCUGAAGAAUGGGAAGAAAGUCAGGACCCGCCUGAAGAAUGGGAAGCAAGUCAGGACCCGCCUGAACAGUGGGAAGCAAGUCAGGACCCGCCUGAACAAUGGGAAGAAAGUCAGGACCCGCCUGAAGAAUGAGAAGAAAGUCAGGACCCGCCUGAAGAAUGGGAAGCAAGUCAGGACCCGCCUGGAAAAUGGGAAGCAACCGCCUGAAAAAUGGGAGCAAGUCAGGACCCGCCUGAAGAAUGGGAUGAUCAGGAACCCGCCUGGAGAAUAGGGCCACCUUUUAAUUUCAAGUUCAGGAACCCGCCUGGAUAAUAGGGACAUCUCUCAAUUUCAUGUUCAGGAGCCCGCCUGAAGAAUAGGGUGUACUUUCAGUUAGAAGUAGCAGGAGCCCGCCUGAAUAUCAGGGUCAACAUUCAACUGCUUUUCAAUUUCAAGAUCAGGACCCCUCCGGAAGCAUGGAGUUUACUUUCAAGUUCAAUUCGAGAUCGAAGUGUUUAUCUCACACUUAGGAAAACAUGAAGAUUCGGGUCAAGAUUCAAGAGAAGCUCCAUAGCUAGGAUCCUAUGCUUGUAUUUUCUUUUUUUCACUUUUGUCUUUCAUUUGAUGUAAUAAUAGGACCGCGGACCAGAGCCUCGACAGGACCUCGCUCAACUAUUCACCUCAAUAUGUUUCAUCCCCUUCUUACUUUUGAACUACACGUGACCUGAUUCCCUUAUAACCCGGGAUAUGUAGGAUGCCCAAGACCAGGGCUCGGUCACAUUUUUGUGAUGUUCCUUUCUCUUCCUUCAAAUAAUGGUCGGGUCCAAAUUUGUCUCAUUGUCUACGUCUUUGUCUGAGAACGCUUCGCGUCCCCAACCAAAGAGGGACAUGCUGUAGACACGUAAUUUUUGACCCUCCCGGGAUGUUUCCAUUGGCUUAUUGAUUAAUUUUUCUUUUUAGUCUAAUCUUGGAUUUUAACUAUUAUUUCAUUUUUUGUAGGUUUGUUUGUGAAAAUGAAAGAAAAGGACAAAAAAUAUUCGCUAUUUCAAGGCAUAAGUUUUGUGUUUAAAAGAAAGAAAAAUUACAAAAAAUAGGUUUCUUUUAAUCUAGUUUUUCUAAGUUAAUUCUAUCUUUUGGUUUUUCCUUAGUCUAUUUAUUUAAUUUUUUUUCUUAGUUUUGGUUUAAAAAUAGUUGAUUAAUAUAUUUAUUUUGGUAUUUUAUACAUCCUUUUAAUGGAAAAGAAAAAUAAAAAUGGAACCAAUGGCCCGCCACUUGUCAAAAUUUCACCCUAUCCACACAAAAAAGGCACAAUUCAUUUUGGGAAGGGAAUAUUUCUUUCAUCCUUCAAGAUAUUUUUAUUCAUGUGGGCAUUUUGGGAAAAAUAAAAAAGGAAUAACACACUCAAAACCCUAGCCUAGACACCCUAUAAAUAUCUAAUUAUAGAAACCUAGAGACCGACCUGAUUUUCCACACAUUAGCCGCAUACUACACAAAAAAAAAAAAAAACUCAGCCGCCACUUCCCAAAAAUCUAGAGAUUACACAAAAUGAUAACCAUAAUCAGCCGUAGUGAAUACAUACAAAAUCUUCAUCUUCUUCAAUUUUAAGAAGAAAAGCAGCAGCUCCAUCAAACACCAAGCACACAAGCAUACAAUCUUCAUCUUGUUUGGGUUUAUUUUCGGUUGAGGUCGAGGUCCGCGAAUCAACGCUCCCGUCGGCGUCGAAUUCGAGUUGCAGCAACUCAUUUUUGUACGUUAGCAUGUAGUUUCCUUGGUCUCUAUUUAAUGGAAGAAAGUUUCAGCUUAUAAAGGUACCUUGAACACCACUAAUGAGGGGCUCAAUAACAAUAGGGUUGAUUGUCAUGGUGAAUGAAUCGAGAAGAACAAUCUAUAUAUUUGGCGAUGGAAGGGUAGUGACAUGUUAGAGAUGAUAGCGAUGACUGUCCAAAGAGAUGUUGUGUUUGAUGAUUUUGUGAACCUAAUCAUCACCUAUUGUGAAUUAACUUGUGAACCAAAAGAUCUUGCCAUCACUUACAUGCACCGCUCUUUUGAAAAUCAUAGGGUCUUACCAUUUAAGAUAACCGAUCAGGUUCAUUUGCAUGGUUAUUUGAAUGAUGUAGCUAGGCCAUUUUAAGGGUAUACGUCGUUGGAAGCCCGGUAGAGAACCAUAAUUUAUCUCAAGACCAAUAAGAUGUGUUAAAUAAUGAAUUGGAUGGGGGUGGAUGUUGAUAUCCUAGAUAAUGGAAAUGGGGCUGACCAGAUUUUUGUACCCGAACUUGCGAGCAAUACAGUGGGCACUGCAUAAUUAACACGGUCUAGCCAUGUUCAAGAUGAUGAAAUAGGUUUUUAUAAAGGAAUGUCAUUCAAGAACAAGGAAGCACUAGCAACUUCGUUGAAACUUGCUUGCUUGAAGAAAGUUUUAGAAUCAAGAAGGUGAUUAAUACUGUGUAUUGCUUCAGAUAUAUACAUCCGGAGUGCAAGUAGUGGCUGAGGGCUGUGAAUCUUUUAAGUUCUAACAUAUUUUGUAUCAGAACCUACAUAAAGCAUCACACAUGUGGUUCUCAGCACAUUACGAGCCAUAAUCCACACUCUACAGCGAAAGUCAUUAGUGAAUACUUCAAAGAUAGGUUUCCUGACCGUAAAGGCCCAUUUACAAAAGUUGUGAGCCACUCAAUCCGUACAGAACUGGGUUGUAAGGUAAGUUAUUGGAAGAUCUGGAAGGGCAUGGAGAUUGCAAAGGCUUUGACAUGGGGGACACAUGAGCACGGGUAUGCGGUGCUUGAUACGUACCAUUAUAUGCUUCGUUCUGCAAAUCCAGAAAGUAAGACGGCAUUGAAAGUUGAUGAAAACGGGAAGUUCAAGUACUUUUUUGUAGCCUAUAAGGCUUGGAUGCUUGGUUUUUCUCAAAUGAAAAAGUCAUAGUUGUCGAUGGCACAUUCUUAAGGAGCAAGUAUGAAGGAGUGUUGUUGUCAUCCGUCGCACAAGAUACGAAGAAUCAUAUUUUUCCAGUGGCAUUUUGUGUAGUGGACAAGAAGUGUGAUGCUUCGUACAAAUAUAUUUUUGAACAAAUGAGAAGCUAUGUAGAGGAUACCCCUCAGUUGUGCAUAAUUUCUGAUAGACAUCCAAGUAUCAAAAAGGCGGUUUCAAUUGUUUUCCUUACAUCUCAUUGUGGUUUUUGCUUGAGGCACUUUGGGGAAAAUCUGAGAACCACCUUGCACAAUGAGGUGGUUGUAUCUCAAUUUUAAAAGCAGCAAAAGCGUAUAAUAUUGAUGUAUUCAAUGAUCAUUUAAAUCAAAUCAGAGAUAUGGUUCCUGGGGCCGCCAAACAUCUUGAACAUGCUGGAUUCCAUAGAUGGAGCAGGGCAUUCUGCCCUGGAAAUAGGUAUAAUUUUAUGACGACAAACACUGCUGAGUCGAUGAACUCAAUGUUCAAUGUUGAAAGAAAAUUUCCUAUUACUACUCUAUUUGAUUCCAUGAACAGGAGGUUUGCUAAAAAAUUUAAUGAGAAGCGUAUGGAGUUCAUCGACUCACCAACCAUCUUUGUUCCCUCAAUGGAAAAAAAAUCAAAAUUUGUCAACUUGGGGAAUAAGUUAUUGGCCCAUCAAAUUGCCAACUAGAAGUUCAGCGACUUCCGUCACGGUUCAGUUGCAACAGUCGAUCUGCAAAGAAGGUCUUGUACUUGUAGAGUUUUUGACCUGGACAAAAUACCUUGUCCACAUGCUAUGACAGCGCUUCGAGUCUAAUAUGGUGAAGACUUUGGAAGGAGGAUUUAUGACUACUUAUCUCCAUAUUAUAAGGUGGAGAAUUACAUAAUUGCAUAUUGUGAGGAAAUGAAUCAUGUGCCUUCUGAAGAAUCUUGGGAAGUUCCUAUAGAGAUUUUAGAGAGAGAAAUACCUCCUCCAUAUGUUGAUCCGAGAAAACUGGCAAGAAGACGGACAAAAAGGAGGCGUGGAAUCGGGGAAUCAUUUCCAAUGGGGAAAAACAAAUGCUCCAUAUGCAAAACAGCUGGCCACAAAAAAACUACAUGCCCAAACCGAAAUGGUCCAUAGUUGUUAAUCUUGCAAUGUCUUGUAAUAAUAAUUACUAUUGUUGGUGUUUGUGAACCUAGAUUUUAUGACAUUUUUAUGUUCUUUCUUGUAAUGGAAAACUCUGUUGUUUGUGUUUGUGAACAUGGUUUAUAUGAUAUGCAGUGUU